AUUGAUCACUCGCACAGAUUACAUUUGGCUGUCCUUGGUAAAGUACCUACCUCUGUCUUAGUCCUUUGUGGGGUUAAGGGGAGCAGAACAUGUCCCCCUCUUUGUUGAAUUUAUGGUAAUCUGUUCAUAAUUAUUCAAAAUAUUUAAUAUUGAAUAUUUUAUUCAAUAUGGCACAGGCACUGGAGGAUCAGUCCCAGUCAAUGUGCCAUUAUGGAGCAACCCUGCCAGAUGCCUGGAUGAGAGUCCAGCAAGCACGGUAAUCAUUUUGUCCACCACCAGUUUACACGCCCAUCAAAAAGAGUCUUGCUCUAUUGCCCAGGCUGGAGUGCAGUGGCAAUCCUACUUCACUGCCGCCUACAGCUCCUGCGCUCAAGCUGUAUUCCUGCCUCAGCCUCCCAAAGCGUUGGGAUUACAGGCGUGAGUGUCUGUGCGUCUUCUUUCAAAAAUGUUUAUCCAGGUUCUUUGCCCAUUUUAUGCUAGUCUUAAAGAGAGAAAAUGGUGACUUAGACUAGGGUGAGAACAAUGGAAAGAUAUUUAGAAGGCAAAAUUGACAACACCUUGCAGUAUGUUGAAUUUGUGUGGAGCAGGUGAUGGAACCUAAUGAUGACUUCUAAGCUUAAUACUGUUAUGUUUUUAGAAUUUCUUAUUCAUGUCCGUAACUCAUUAUCAGUUAGAUAGUGUUAAUGUUUUCUUUUAUUUUCUGUAAAUGGGGGUAUUCAAGAUAAUAAUCCCAGUGUUUGUUUGCCUUUAUUUCUUUUGAAGUGGGGAUGUUUUAAGUUUCUUACAUAAUUAAAUAUUUUCAUUGGUGUUAUCUAGUUUUUCUUAAACUCUUACAUUAAAUUCCCUCAGAUAAUUUUCACAGUUUUUUGGAUAGAGAGCUGAUUAUAUGAAUACUGCAGAAAUGAAUAGUUAUGAAUUUUAAUCUGAUGGCUAAUGAGCAACUAAACAGCAUUUCAAAAAGAUGCCAAAAAGGUCUCUGGAAAUAACCCCCCUCCAUGAGUGUGGCCAAAGUGAAGAACAAUGUAUUAAAAUUUAGCCAGGCGUGGUGACUCAUGCCUGUAAUUACAGCACUUUGGGAGGCCAAGGCAGGAGGAUCACCUAAAGCCAAGAGUUUGAGACCAGCCUGGCCAACAUGGUAGAACCCCAUCUCUACCAAAAACUACAAAAAUUAGCCGGGUGUAGUGGUGCAUCCCUGUAAUCCCAGCUACUCAGGAGGCUGAGGCAGGAGAAUCGCUUGAACCUGGGAGGCAGAGGUUGCAGUGAGCUGAGAUCUUGCCAUUGGACUCUAGCCUGGGUGACAGAACAAGAUUCUGCUUCAAAAGGGAAAAAAAAAAAAAUAUAUAUAUAUAUAUAUAUAUAUAUAUAUAUAUGUACACGUAUAUACAUUUUUUUUUCAUUUAACUUUUGAAUAGUGAAUAUACAUCUCUUGUAUGGGGCUAUAGAGUGAAAAAUCUCAUUCCCACGUCAGUGCAUUCCACUGAGUGUCCCCUCCCUACAAUCACUUGUAUUCAUUUCCAGAACUUAUUUAUGUAAAAAUAAACAAAUGUUAAUGUUUCUAUUCUUCCUUCUUUAUUUUUAAAAUGAAAGGUAGCACACUGUACACAUUGUUCUAAGCUUUGUUUUUCUUCAUUGGACAAUAUAUAUUGUAG
rnacentral:lncRNA from 1 species